CCGAUGUAGCAUAGUGGUAGUGCAACGCACUCGUAACGCGUAGGUCGUAGGUUCAAGUCCUAUCAUCGGC
rnacentral:tRNA from 1 species